UGCUUUCGGACAGGAUUUCUUCGAAUUC
rnacentral:sRNA from 1 species